AUUAAAUUACAAUAAGCAAUUGACAUUGAUAAAAUCGAGUAGCAUGUUUUUUAUGUUUGAAGAUGACACAGGCUUUGACACAUAUUAUUACAUUACAUUGAGUUUUUGCCCUAUAUAAGUCAUACAUGGGGCAACUAAAUGCAAGAGAGAAUUCCAAUACAAAACCAUCUUGUGCUGCUCCUCUUGUGCUCUUUUGCAAUCUUAAGGCUUUUAGUCCCAUCACUCACAUACUCGAACACAUUUGUAACAUAGUGUUUGAUAUCAUCCAUUUGCUCACCUUGUGCCUCAACCAUUACUGCCAUGUCAAGAAACAUCUAGUGAAGCUCCAGUAGACUCUUCUCUAUUUCCUUGGCCGCGUCAUGAUGUUCUUGGAUCUCCACCCCCAUUUCUACUUUCUAGCACCUUCCCUUGCCGUGCUCCUAGAAACAUUAUAGUCGUUACAUCAAGAAAGUUAAUAUAAAUGUUGGCAAUUAGUCUAAAAUUGAGAUCGAAAGUUUGAAAAUUGAGGAAAUUAUUUAGGAAAGAUCAAGUUGGAGAGAUUAUCUAUGACAAAAAUGUAGAGCUAAAUACCUGUAUGGCUUUAGACAGAAAUUUCUCGCCACUGCGGUCUGCUAUGGCUCCACGUUCGAUGAACCGGAGAUGGAAGGAAACAGGGAUUUUGACCUUUUGAUUUCUGAGGUUUUAAAGGUGGGAGACACAAUUUUUUUCUUUACCAAUUUCUCCCACUUCUACUCAGAUGGCGACCUAUUUGGUUGGUCUGCUAUGGCGCCACAUUCGGUGAACGUGCAGCAUGAUGACAGAGAUGAAGGGCUUGGAUUUGGAUUUUGGGUCUCCUUCCGGUUCGACUUUGGGAGAGAGAAGCUGAAAUACAGGGUUUUCAUUUAUCAACCUUCUUUUUUCAUUUUUUUUUUCCUUUUUUAUAUUUCUUAUGCCAUGUCAGAUUUUUCAAAUGCCUGUUUUCUACCCUGUAUUUCAGCCUGUCCGUGUAGCCCCAUUGAUCGAAAGAUAGACCUUGUAGAGAAAAAUGGCACGAGCACUCUAUAUUGAUGCGCCUAAACUCGG
rnacentral:lncRNA from 1 species